rnacentral:rRNA from 1 species
UUGCUACUGGAUUCAGCGGCGGACGGGUGAGUAAUGCUUAGGAAUCUGCCUAUUAGUGGGGGACAACGUUCCGAAAGGAGCGCUAAUACCGCAUACGUCCUACGGGAGAAAGCAGGGGACCUUCGGGCCUUGCGCUAAUAGAUGAGCCUAAGUCGGAUUAGCUAGUUGGUAGGGUAAAGGCCUACCAAGGCGACGAUCUGUAGCGGGUCUGAGAGGAUGAUCCGCCACACUGGGACUGAGACACGGCCCAGACUCCUACGGGAGGCAGCAGUGGGGAAUAUUGGACAAUGGGGGGAACCCUGAUCCAGCCAUGCCGCGUGUGUGAAGAAGGCCUUUUGGUUGUAAAGCACUUUAAGCGAGGAGGAGGCUACCUAGAUUAAUACUUUAGGAUAGUGGACGUUACUCGCAGAAUAAGCACCGGCUAACUCUGUGCCAGCAGCCGCGGUAAUACAGAGGGUGCGAGCGUUAAUCGGAUUUACUGGGCGUAAAGCGUGCGUAGGCGGCCAAUUAAGUCAAAUGUGAAAUCCCCGAGCUUAACUUGGGAAUUGCAUUCGAUACUGGUUGGCUAGAGUAUGGGAGAGGAUGGUAGAAUUCCAGGUGUAGCGGUGAAAUGCGUAGAGAUCUGGAGGAAUACCGAUGGCGAAGGCAGCCAUCUGGCCUAAUACUGACGCUGAGGUACGAAAGCAUGGGGAGCAAACAGG